UACGGGGGGGGUAAGCGUUGUUCGGAAUUACUGGGCGUAAAGGGCUCGUAGGCGGCCAACUAAGUCAGACGUGAAAUCCCUCAGCUUAACUGGGGAACUGCGUCUGAUACUGGAUGGCUUGGAUUCGGGAGAGGAAUGCGGAAUUCCAGGUGUAGCGGUGAAAUGCGUAGAUAUCUGGAGGAACACCAGCGGCGAAGGCGGCGACCUGGGCCAAUAUUGACGCUGAGGUGCGAAAGCGUGGGGAGCAAACAGG
rnacentral:rRNA from 1 species